rnacentral:lncRNA from 1 species
AUCAAUGGAGGAAAUAGGAUGGGAUCAAAGAAUUUGGUUAAGAGGUCAGUUUCAGAACCACCAAAAAGAUAUAUGUCAAAUUGAGAAAACAAGGGAAGUUUCCGACAGGAUCUCGUGUCCGUUGAGCUUUGACUUCCUUAAACAGCAUAUAACCAAAUUUUACUUGGAAAGAGUUGAACUUAUUGCAAUUUUAGGGUUUUAUAAUCUUCAAGUGUGCUUCACACCGAUGCCAAAACAACUAGGUGUUUUACGUACCGAACACCUUGAAUUAUAACUACACAACAUAAUGAUCACUGAAUUUUUUUUUUUUUUUUUUUUUAAAUACUUCUUUCAUUUAUCUUCCGAAAAGAGAUAUCAUUUUACAAAUAUCAGUUUAGAAUAGAAGCUGAAGCAAAAUGAUCACUGAAUUGAUCACUGAAUUGCUUGGUACACAAAUUUUUUUUGGCAGAUUUAUCCGUAAAAACCGUUUCACAGUCAAAAUUUUGGAUACUCUAUUAAUAGUUUAACAGCUUUAUAACUUCUAGCAUUUGAAUUUAUUAAGCAAACAAGUGUACU